rnacentral:rRNA from 1 species
GACGAACGCUGGCGGCGUGCUUAACACAUGCAAGUCGAGCGGUAAGGCCCUUUCGGGGGUACGACGAGCGGCGAACGGGUUGAGUAACACGUGGGUGACCUGCCCUCAGCUCUGGGAUAAGCCUGGGAAACCGGGUCUAAUACUGGAUAUGACUCCAUGACGCAUGUUGUGGGGUGGAAAGCCUUGUGCGGCUGAGGAUGGGCCCGCGGCCUAUCAGCUUGUUGGUGGGGUGAGGCCUACCAAGGCGACGACGGGUAGCCGGCCUGAGAGGGCGACCGGCCACACUGGGACUGAGACACGGCCCAGACUCCUACGGGAGGCAGCAGGUGGGGAAUCUUGCGCAAGUGGGCGAAAGCCUGACGCAGCGACGCCGCGUGAGGGAU